rnacentral:rRNA from 1 species
AUACAGAGGGUGCGAGCGUUAAUCGGAGUUACUGGGCGUAAAGGGCGCGUAGGCGGAUGAUUAAGUCAGUUGUGAAAUCCCAGGGCUUAACCUUGGAACUGCAAUUGAUACUGAUUGACUAGAGUCGAAGAGAGGGAAGCGGAAUUUCCGGUGUAGCGGUGAAAUGCGUAGAUAUCGGAAGGAACACCCGUGGCGAAGGCGGCUUCCUGGCUUCAGACUGACGCUGAGGUGCGAAAGCGUGGGGAGCGAACAGGAUUAGAUAACCUAGUAGUCC